AAAGCUCUAGCCAUCCCCCUCCUUGUACUCUCUGAAACAACCUCCAAUAUGCCCAGAUCACCAGCCAUGGCAGAGGCACACCCUCCUCAUUUCCCCCUCCACCCUCCUUCUCCCUCUUCUUUAACCAGCAAUUCUUUUUUACCCAUUGUUGGCGGUGAACAUGAUGACUCACUAUUUCCCCACAGAAACACAUAUGAUUUAAACAGCAAGAUCAUGCUCGCUGCAAUUGUAUCAUUAUCAUUUGUUGUUGUUCUAGUUAUACUACUCCAUCUUUAUGUAAGAUGUAUCCUCAGACGCCAAUCCCGUCAGAGAGCUUUGAUUCGUAGCCUAGGACUCCCAAUUGCCGAUGCCCAUAAUCACUCCGGCGAGCCACCCAAGACCGGUCUCGAUCCCGCCGUCAUUGCUUCACUUCCCAUGUUUGUCUACAAGCAAACUGGCAAUGAUGAAAAUGAUGAUUCCUCAUCAAAAGAAUGUGCUGUCUGUUUAAGCGUUCUUGAAGAUCAAGAAAUGGCAAGGCUUUUACCUAAUUGCAACCAUACUUUCCAUGCAGAGUGUAUAGAUAAAUGGUUAAGUUCACACCCAACUUGCCCCAUCUGCCGCACGGAGGCUGAGCCAAAGAUUCAGCCGGUGACCCGUGAGGGUCCAGCUGGUGUUGCAGCGACAGCACCGCCGUUGGAGAGGGUGAAUUCUACAUUAACUGUGUGCGUAGAGGGGACGUCCGAUGGUGUAAAUCAAUCUUCUAGCAAUAAGGCUGCUGGUGGUUCCAUUUCUCGGUUGAGCUCUUUUAGAAGGAUACUUAGCAGGGAAAGAUCAUCAAGAAGGCUUCAAUCUGAGGUUCAAGAAGGUUUUCAAGAUCUAGAGAGGCAAUAAUUUUUGGUCAAAUGGCAUUUAUUUGCACUAUUUAUUUUAUUAUUUUUUCAGUUUAUUAUAGAAUAAAUAGUGCAAAUAAAUGCUAUUUUACCAAAAAUUAUUGCCUC
rnacentral:misc_RNA from 1 species